CAGGGAGACAACAAAAUGUUUAAUAUUAUUAUUUUGUCACCUUAGGUCGAUCGGUAUCUCACGUUUUUAAUUUAUUAAGAAUUUCAUUUCCUAAGUUUUUCUAGGUCACACCCAUUAUUUUUCCUGGGCCAUUAGCUCAGGUGGUUAGAGCGCACCCCUGAUAAGGGUGAGGUCCCUGGUUCAAGUCCAGGAUGGCCCAUAUCUCUAUGUUGGGGGUAUAGCUCAGUUGGUAGAGCGCCUGCUUUGCAAGCAGGAUGUCAGCGGUUCGAGUCCGCUUACCUCCACUGAUUACCACCUCUUCCAUAAUCUGUAGAAAGGAAAGUUUUUGAGUUGUGAUCAAAUUCUGAACGAAUCUAGCUUCCUAAUGAAAGCAUUAAGAUGCUGGACUCAUUGAAUUAAUUUCAUUGUUUUCAGAGAACCUUGACAACUGCAUAGAUUAUUUUUAAAGACAAUAAGCAUCUUUAAUGAUGCAGAUUUUUAUUUGUGCGAAUGCAUUAAUAACAAUUCUAUUAAGCUGAUGCUUCAAUUUUGAAGUUAUU
rnacentral:tRNA from 1 species